rnacentral:rRNA from 1 species
AAACCGCAUGGUUUUGAUUUGAAAGGCGCUUUCGGGUGUCGCUGAUGGAUGGACCCGCGGUGCAUUAGCUAGUUGGUGAGGUAACGGCUCACCAAGGCCACGAUGCAUAGCCGACCUGAGAGGGUGAUCGGCCACAUUGGGACUGAGACACGGCCCAAACUCCUACGGGAGGCAGCAGUAGGGAAUCUUCGGCAAUGGACGAAAGUCUGACCGAGCAACGCCGCGUGAGUGAAGAAGGUUUUCGGAUCGUAAAACUCUGUUGUUAGAGAAGAACAAGGAUGAGAGUAACUGUUCAUCCCUUGACGGUAUCUAACCAGAAAGCCACGGCUAACUACGUGCCAGCAGCCGCGGUAAUACGUAGGUGGCAAGCGUUGUCCGGAUUUAUUGGGCGUAAAGCGAGCGCAGGCGGUUUCUUAAGUCUGAUGUGAAAGCCCCCGGCUCAACCGGGGAGGGUCAUUGGAAACUGGGAGACUUGAGUGCAGAAGAGGAGAGUGGAAUUCCAUGUGUAGCGGUGAAAUGCGUAGAUAUAUGGAGGAACACCAGUGGCGAAGGCGGCUCUCUGGUCUGUAACUGACGCUGAGGCUCGAAAGCGUGGGGAGCAAACAGGAUUAGAUACCCUGGUAGUCCACGCCGUAAACGAUGAGUGCUAAGUGUUGGAGGGUUUCCGCCCUUCAGUGCUGCAGCUAACGCAUUAAGCACUCCGCCUGGGGAGUACGACCGCAAGGUUGAAACUCAAAGGAAUUGACGGGGGCCCGCACAAGCGGUGGAGCAUGUGGUUUAAUUCGAAGCAACGCGAAGAACCUUACCAGGUCUUGACAUCCUUUGACCACUCUAGAGAUAGAGCUUCCCCUUCGGGGGCAAAGUGACAGGUGGUGCAUGGUUGUCGUCAGCUCGUGUCGUGAGAUGUUGGGUUAAGUCCCGCAACGAGCGCAACCCUUAUUGUUAGUUGCCAUCAUUCAGUUGGGCACUCUAGCAAGACUGCCGGUGACAAACCGGAGGAAGGUGGGGAUGACGUCAAAUCAUCAUGCCCCUUAUGACCUGGGCUACACACGUGCUACAAUGGGAAGUACAACGAGUCGCGAAGUCGCGAGGCUAAGCUAAUCUCUUAAAGCUUCUCUCAGUUCGGAUUGCAGGCUGCAACUCGCCUGCAUGAAGCCGGAAUCGCUAGUAAUCGCGGAUCAGCACGCCGCGGUGAAUACGUUCCC